rnacentral:rRNA from 1 species
AAACCAGCACCUCAAGUGGUCAGGAGGAUUAUUGGGCCUAAAGCAUCCGUAGCCUGUUCUGUAAGUUUUCGGUUAAAUCCAUUAGCUCAACUAAUGGGCUGCCGAAAAUACUGUAGAACUAGGGGGUGGGAGAGGUAGACGGUAUUCGGUAGGAAGGGGUAAAAUCCUUUGAUCUAUUGAGGACCACCUGUGGCGAAGGCGGUCUACCAGAACACGUUCGACGGUGAGGGAUGAAAGCUGGGGGAGCAAACCGGAUUAGAAACCCGAGUAGUCC